rnacentral:sRNA from 1 species
AUUAUGAGUUGUGUUUCUCCUGUUUCAUUUUGCAGGUCUUUCCUCUUUCAGGUAGCCAAAGCAUGGAGUGUGAUUUGAAGCUAAUUAACUAAAAGGAUGUAAUUUUUCUUCGGUGUUCAUCAUUUCGUUAACCUGUUGAUAUCUGAGAAGCGGUUUGGUUCCUUAGUAAUACCUGAGGCUACUUUGAUAAUCUCUAAUAAUUUUGUACAUUGGAGUUGUCAUUAUAAUUUUUUUUUCUUUUUCCCUUAGAACAUUCCUGAUGUAGAUGAAGAAGGCUACAGUAUUAAACCAGAAACAAAUCAGAAUGAUACCAAAGAGAACCAUUUCUACUCAUCUAGUGAUUCUGACUCCGAAGAUGAAGAACCAAAGAAGUAUCGGAUAGAAAUUAAGCCUAUGCAUCCAAAUAACUCACAUCACACAGUGGCUUCUUUGGAUGAAUUAAAAGUAUCUAUAGGGAAUAUAACACUCUCCCCAGCAAUAUCUGUAAGUACAAACACGUUUGUACUCUUUAUAUAAAAGUCUUUAUUUUUCUUACCUACCUGUGUCUGGUCAAACAUUACUUAGCAAUUGUUAAGCAUGUUGACUGAGGAAAUACUUAGUUUAUAAUUUUUAUACAGGGAAAUAAAUUGUGAAUUUGGCUUAAUUUUGCUUUUGAAAGUAGAAAGUGAAAAUGUCAAAAAUUCACUAUUUCUGCCAUUUGUUGCAUUUCAUAAACAGUGCUGUGUGUCUCUGGCAGAAUUCUUUGAAUUGGCAGUAUUAAUUUUUGCCUCAUCUAAUUUUGAAGUGUUUCUUCUAUGUUUUGUGAGCCUUAUGUAGGAGGGAAUUUUAUAA